UUCAAAAAAAUACAAAGCAACAAUUCAAUAAUUAGACUAAGGGCAGAGACGAAGCAAUAAGUUCCCGCGACCAUUCACUCAGACAAUCCAAUUUCUAGGGUUCUUUACAAUUCACUAAUUCUUGCACUCAGAAUCAAUUGUUUGAUGGGUAUAAAUUGGACUGGGGUCUACGUAUCGGCUCAAGGAGUAUUGAGGAACUGGAUUUGCAGGCGAGCAGGCUACGAGUUAGGACUUCC